rnacentral:rRNA from 1 species
UAGGGAAUCUUCCGCAAUGGGCGAAAGCCUGACGGAGCAACGCCGCGUGAGUGAUGAAGGUCUUCGGAUCGUAAAACUCUGUUAUUAGGGAAGCACAAAUGUGUAAGUAACUAUGCACGUCUUGAUGGUACCUAAUCAGAAAGCCACGGCUAACUACGUGCCAGCAGCCGCGGUAAUACGUAGGUGGCAAGCGUUAUCCGGAAUUAUUGGGCGUAAAGCGCGCGUAGGCGGUUUUUUAAGUAUGAUGUGAAAGCCCACGGCUCAACCGUGGGGGGUCAUUGGAAACUGGAAAACUUGAGUGGAGAAGAGGAAAGUGGAAUUCCAUGUGUAGCGGUGAAGUACGGAGAGAUAUGGAGGAACACCAGUGGCGAAGGCGGCUUUCUGGUCUGUAACUGACGAUGAUGUGCGAAGGCGUGGGGAUCAAAAAGG